rnacentral:rRNA from 1 species
GACGAACGCUGGCGGCGUGCUUAACACAUGCAAGUCGAACGGAAAGUCCCUGCUUUUGUGGGGAGCUCUAGUUGCGACCUGGUGAGUAACACUUGAGUACCCUGCCCUUGCCUGUGGGAUAACUUCAUAAAACUUAGUCUCAUCCCGGAUAGGAUCUCCUGCUGCUUGGUGGGGGCUGGAAAGUUUCGGCGGUUGGUGAUGGACUCGCGUCUUAUCAGCUUGUUGGUUGGGUAGUGGCUUACCAAGGCUUUGACGGGUAGCAGGGCUGAAAGGGUGACCGGACAAAUUGGGAUUGGAAUGAGGCACAGCCUACUACGGGAGGCAGCAGUGCGGUAGAUUGCAUAAUGGGAUGAAGCAUAACCUAGCCAAGCAGCGCGGGGGAUGACGGCAUUGGGGUUGUAAUGCGAUUUCGCCUGUGACGAAGCGUGAGUGACGGUAACGGGUAAAGAAGCACCGGCUAACUACGUG